rnacentral:rRNA from 1 species
GACGAAGGGGGCUAGCGUUGUUCGGAAUUACUGGGCGUAAAGCGAAUGUAGGUGGUUGUCCAAGUUGGAUGUGAAAGCCUUGAGCUCAACUCAAGAAAUGCAUUCAGGACUGGAUGGCUAGAGGACCGGAGAGGAUAGUGGAAUUCCCAGUGUAGUGGUGAAAUACGUAGAGAUUGGGAAGAACACCAGUGGCGAAGGCGGCUAUCUGGACGGUUUCUGACACUAAGACUCGAAAGCGUGGGGAGCAAACAGG